ACUAUAUUAUUCAUUGCCCUCAUGCUAUCACUAUUGCUACAAUCAACUACAAAGUCCCUCGGCUUGUAGCCCAUUUCCCCCGCAUUCCUGAGACAACCUUUUAUGCUACCUUCCGGAACCGCUUGCAUCGGCUCCCUUCCCAUGCCCUUUCCCGUGCCCUUUGGGCGGCCACGUCCCCGCUUGGUCGUCUUGUCCGAGAGCAUUUGCAUCCCCUGACUAACCUGCUCUUCUAACCGACUAAUGCGACUAGCAAUAAUAUCCGGGCCAAGAGCGGAUAAAUCCUUAUUACCUUCAUGCGAAACAUCCCCUCUUUUGUCCAAAGUUGGGUCACGUUCGAGAGCAACAACUGUGUCGUCAAUAAUCGGGCUGUUCAAACCCGCGCCAUCCAGAGCCUCCAUCUCCAAAGUUUCCUCCACAUCUGAGUCCUCCUCGUUAAUGACCAAGUCACUAUCUUUGAUAAUCACAUCUUUAUCCCCCUGAACCGGAACCAGGAUUUUUUCCAACAAAUUCGGCCCAAAUGAAUGAACCCCUAAAGACGUUCCAGAAAUAGGAUCAACACCCAUAUCCAAAACAGUCUCCGCAUUAUUCUCCAAGUCAAGAGCCUGAAAUGCGUUUCGCGUCUCAACAGCCUCUUUCUCAAGAACCGGAACAAUCUGUUUUUUUACCGCCUGUUCGGUAACCUUUGACCAAGCCGCAGCAGGUUUAGCAGCCAUGUGAUCUUUAGGCUUAACCUUCUUGCUCUUGUUUUCAUUAUCAGUAGCAGACUCGAUCGGAGCUUCUUUACUGUCCUGGCUGUCCUUCCGCUUAAGCUUUGUACACUUUUCCACCUGAUGUCCAGUGAUGCGGCAAUUCGAGCAAAAUAAAGGCAAUUGUUCAUAGCUAAACUCGACAUAGAAAGGAUAUUCACAAUCUAUAAGCAUCGAUUCCUGCAAUGGCUGAGCGAGAUCCACUUCAAUUAGCACACGAAUGAAAUGGCCGACCUCUCCAUAAGCUGAUACACCAUCAAUUUUGAUUGGAAAACCAAUAAUUCUAGCAAUUGCUGUUAUUACCUCAGGAUCCCAAAACUCAUUCGGAAGGUAAUAAAUCCGAACCCAAACUUGACAUAUAGAAGAGACUUCCUUGUAGGGAUUGAAACAUGGAACCCACUCGCGGAGGCGAAUGGAACCCGCAGCCAGAUCCCAAACAAUUUUAGCUUUCGCAAGUUUUUUAUCUUCAAGAGUAGAGAAUUUCAUGGUGAAAAAACCCUUCCCAGAGUGAGAAGCUUCCACUCUGAUUGGAUACCCCACAAAUUGUUGAGUUCAAGCUUCAACUGAUGUGUCGCUGUGGCUUGCUUCCUUUCCGUAGUAAUACCCUUCCAAUAACAGAGAAUUCGAAUUCAGCAAUACGUUUUUGAUACAUCUGUUUCGGAAUGGUGAGAGAGAACCCAUCGGCGAGUUUCUCAGCCUUAAGAGCUGAGAAUUUAUGCGCUGGUAAAUCUGGAGGUCGAUCAACCCGUUGUUGCAUGAUCGAGGCGUAGGAAACCCUACCCUCUGGUGGCGGCUGUUUGUGAGUUAGGCACCGAAGCUGUUCCUUCAGACGGAAUUGUAGAGGUAGUUCCAGAUCCUGAUGAAUUAUCCGAUAAACAAACCUCAACAAGUUUCAAAUUCCCAUGCUCCAAAUCCCUCGGCUGAAAGUUGUUUGAGAUUUGUGGCAGGCGAAGGCUAUCAGGUUUCUCAGGAAAACCACGGGCUCCUGAAGCAGUCGGCGACAGAGAGGAAGCAGUCCUCUUAGGUAGCGGCGCCGGAGAGCGGCGUCGGCGAAAGAUUAUUGACCAUGGCGGCUAGGGUUUUCGAGAACUAGAGAGAAUUAGGGUCUGCAUUUUUUCAGGUUCGACUGAAUGCGCAUUGUUUUAUAAAUAUUUUAAAAUUAAGAUGCGCAUUGUUUAUAUUGGUAUGCGCAUAUAGUGUAAUAAAAAUUGAAAAAUUCUUAAAAAUUGAGAUGCGCAUAUAUUGUUAAUAAUUGAGAUGUGCAUAUAUUGUUAAUAAUUGAGAUGCGCAUAUAUUCUUAAAAAUUGAGAUGCGCAUAUAUUGAGACGCGCAUUGUAAUUAAAAUUGAGAUGCGCAUUGUUAACAAAUAAUUGAGAUGCGCAUAGUUAAAUAAUUGGUAUGCGCAUAGUCAAAAUUAGAGUUUAAAAAUAAGCUAUCUUCCUAAUGUACAAAAAAUAGAUUCACGCAAAGUACCCCAACUAUGCGGAUGAAAUGGAUAGAGAGAUUGGGGGCAAUUCAAAUUCAAGACAUAAUAAUGACAAAUCUAUCUACCCAUAACUGUUCUCCAUAAAAUCGGUCAAAUGAGAAUGAAUAUUGUGUCAGCACACAUAUUAAAAGUAGAACAUAGAUAUUGGAGUAGGAAUCAGUAGUACGGGGAAAUUAAUAAAAUAUUAACAUGAUCAUGGAGUAAAUUGUUUGUAAUAAAAUAGGGUAUAGUCUAAAUAUCCUUUACUAAACUUGGGCACUUUUAUAUAUUAGCACUUUCAGAAUUUAAGUGAACUUUUNCAUAGUCAAAACUCUGCGCAAUUAAUAUGCGCAGAGUUAAUAUUUGUGCGCAUAGUUGACUUAUACAUAAUUUUCGCAUUGUUUUUAUUACUAUGCGGUGUAAUAUUUUGAUUUCCGCAGUGUUUGCAAAUUUGAAUGCGCAUUAUUUUAAUAAUUGGAGUUUAAAAUUGAGAUGCGCAUAGUUAAAUAAUUGUUUAUAUUUUAAUAUUUUAUAAAUAAUUUGAAUGCGCAUUAUUCUAGAUAUUAUUAAAUUGAGGUUUAUUAUAAAAGAAAAGAAAAAAAUCCCCUUGAGAGCACAAAACGCAGACUAAGGGCACGAAACUCGAAAAGAGAUCGUUAAGCUAAGAAUCCUGAAGACACUAGCAAUCCCAUAACUCAGGAUAGUCGUCAAUCUCAUCUGACCAACGUCUAUGUACUAUAUUAUUCAUUGCCCUCAUGCUAUCACUAUUGCUACAAUCAACUACAAAGUCCCUCGGCUUGUAGCCCAUUUCCCCCGCAUUCCUGAGGCGACCUUUUAUGCUACCUUCCGGAACCGCUUGCAUCGGCUCCUUUCCCAUGCCCUUUCCCGUGCCCUUUGGGCGGCCACGUCCCCGCUUGGUUGUCUUGUCCGAGAGCAUUUGCAUCCCCUGACUAACCUGCUCUUCUAACCGACUAAUGCGACUAGCAAUAUUGUCCGGGCCAAGAGCGGACAAAUCCUUGUUACCUUCAUGCGAAACACCCCCUCUUUUGUCCAAAGUUGGGUCACGUUCGAGAUAAACAGCUGUG
rnacentral:lncRNA from 1 species